AGGGCUGCUGUGGGCCUAACUGCUGGCUGGAAAACUUCAUCUCACAUCCCCCUCCUCCUCCCCCAUUUUCUCAUUCUGUCCUUUCCUGCCUCCCCUCCUUCAUUACUCUUCCCUUCCCCUCUGGUGGUCCUGCAACUCCAAUCACUCUGUUCUUAUUACCAGGGAGAAGGAACUCGCCCUCACGCACACAUACACAGAGGCUUUUCGUUCUUCCCAUUACCAGAGCAUGUCCCUCGCUGCUGGGGACCGUCGGGCAGCCAGGGGGACAAAUUGGCGCCCGGCUGAGCUAAAUGUGCCUGGUGCUGAGAGCCAGAUGGUACUGGCAGAGGGAUGGAGGGAGCGAAGGAUGGAUGCAACUGAGAGAUGGAGUGUUUAAGCCGUGGCACGGCACAACAGCGUGGGGGAGCUAGCUUUGCACACUAAUAAUCUAUUAGUGCUCAGGGGCCUGAAAGCUGUGCAAAGGGCCUUGCCAGGGGCCAGUCUGACCCGCUCAGAGCUUUGGUGAAGAGGGGCUUGAAUCAAGACUGGACAACAUGCAGGAGGGAGGAUUAUGCAGUGAACUGCUGAGGAGUUGGGGGGAAGAGACUGACAGAUUAUGUCAAGACGCAGCAGGAGAGCAGGAGAAGACAAGAAAGAGACAGCGAUAGAGAGGUGUGAUGUCAGGCAGCUGCUGGGAGGUAGAUAUGUUGUUGGACCUCUCACUUCUGAUUCGUUUCUCUUUCUCUCUUCCAAAAUUAUGGAUCUGAUCAGAGUAAUGAGCAGAAACUCUGAUGAUUCUCCCAAAACAGUCGAGCAAAAGCAUGCAAUUAAACCUUUUUUUAAAGUUGGACCUCAUAUUUGUAUUUCAGCCCAUGUUUUUAAUCAGUAAUACAACUGUGUACUUGCCAAGUUUAUUAGUGAGAUCUGGGAAUGCAUCAAAAAUGCAAAAAAAAGUCUAACAAGGCAAGACUAGCAAUCUGGUGUUCAUAAAGGUUUUAAACAAGCCCCUAGAUUAGCUACACUGAAAAGGAAAACAAAAGCAAAGGAUGAAUACUGAAGCUGUAUGUUGUAGAGCUAUCACAGUUUGUAUACCAUGUCACUCAUCUGCCUAUCUUGCAUGUACAGAUAUCAAGUUGUAGUUUUACUUACAGUACUAAUAAAGUGGUUUGAAUAUUGUGGAAAA